UUGUUUUAUCUCUCUGCCCGUUGUUUUCCAAGGUAGAAAAGUUGCAAAAGAAAAGGGGGGUGCACUCGUAAAAUCGUGUUUUCAAGAACCGCCGCGUUAUUCAUCGCCGAAAUAUCGCGAGACGCUUUUUUAUCGUUCGUGCUAGUAGUAAAACUCCUUUAAAGCGCGACGUGACGCUGAAAUUGUUAUUUAUGGAAAGACACGCGCAGUUAGAGAGCGUAUACGGAUGAGAUACUAAAACGAAUAUUCUCGAUUCUUCUUUCGAAACGUUUUGACGAGGAACGGAAACCUGUUCCUCUUGGAUUAUGCUCUUGUUAUAUCAGUCGGUUCUUAUAGAACUUCAUUGUUAGUCUUUCGUUGCAAAUUCUUGUUGUUGCUCUCAUGUCAUAUACAUAUGUAUAAACGUAUAUAUGAUUGUAUAGUACGGAUGUUAGUUCAAUACCUGGAAAUCCUUGUAUCACGCAAUUCGAGACAAUCAUCCUCCAAAAUUACUCUAUUCUUCGUGGCAAUUUUCUCGAAUUUUAUCAAGUCCAUCCUAAUUUUUUAUUUCUCUUAUAAGUUUACAUUUUUAAAACAUAUGCUUCACGUCAUGAAUGAAGUUGGGGGACAAACGAGGCAAACACUGGACGGAAAGUGACGUGCCGAAUUUCCAAUUCUCUGCGUAUUAUCCCAGAUUACCGUAGGGAACAUGGCAUUUUUUUGAGAUAUCCGCUGAUACCGUGAAGCGGUACCGGAAGAGGAUUAAUUCGAGCACCCUAACCGUAUGAUGCGUCCGUCACAUUUGGGAGCCGCUGCUAAGCUGCGCACCACCUGUACCGUUUGAAAUUGGAUAAAUAGCGUGGACAGCUCUCUUUGGCGUGUCCGUGAGAUUUUCCGCCACUCCUCACCGGGGAUAUCUCGCCUAACCGUGACGACGGUCUCGCCACCCACUAUUUUUUCGCGCUUCGAGUCCUUUUUUGUUUCAUCUCUUCGCACUCGUCGACCGUGAAAUUUUUGCAAUUUUAUGCUUCGACAAAAUGACGUUACUCGUUGGCUAUCAAAUCCCCAAAAUUGCUAUUCCAUUAGAAAUGAUACGCUAAGCACUUGAGACAUUUUUUGACAGACUGUCUAAGACGAACGAAAAGAUGAUUUAUCAGAUUCCGAAAGUCGUGACUGCAAGUACGUGGAACUGGCGGAAGCUCUUUCUCUUUGUGAAUUCGCACAACUUGGCGAAUUGCUCGUUGUUAAAACCGCGCUCGUUCCUCUGGCAUUUUCUACGACGUUUCGUGUUACGAAACGUGAUUCAGGACGGAAAAAUUGCAAACCGAUCAGCAUUCUUCUCGCGUAUAUUGAACAGUCAGAAUUCAAAAUUUCUCUUUACUCAAGGAAAAUUUCAACGACAUUAUCGCAUUGCCAAAUGCAGUUUGACCAAAUUAUUUAAAACGUGCUGUUUCAAUUCAGAGUAUUUAUCAAAUUUAAAUUAUAAACCAAGGAGACCUGUUUAUUUGAAAAAUAUCUGGAAGACCUGUCCCUGACAGGAGUUUUCUUGUGUGCAAUCAGACUACGUCGAGCUUUCCCACGUGAGAAUUUCCGCCCCGUACGCUCCGAAUACGAGCGUCAAAGGUUCUCUUUUCCGUAAGAGAAACGUUUGUCGCGCAUAUUUACCGUGGAUUUUGAAGCGUGUGUGCCCGUCUCUCACGGUUGCGCCGCUUUCUUCGCGGCGAUAAGUUGGGCGUACCCCCUCUCAAAGCUCUCUUUCAUCGCGCUCACAUAUCUAUCCACGUAUAGAAAUCGCGAAUGGUUAUGACAGUCGAUUCAAUGCUCUCCGCGCCUUUGGAUGAGACCAGGCGAAAACGCGAACGCCUUCAGGCUGUCGUUAAUGCCAUCGCGGUUGUCGACUGAUCAGCGACACGGCCUGCCAGCUGCCAUUGUGCCAUUUUCGUGUCUUCGUACGGUUAUUCUAACACUCAUUCUUAUACGACGAAGAAAGAGUUCUUUUCAAGUAAAUGUGAAUCAUACGAAAAAGACACGCUAUGUGACAAUUUUCUGUUUUUCAUUUUAAAAUCCAAUACCUUGUCAACCAGUCACAUAUUACCAAAAUUGGAUUUUUAUCGAAUUUGGUUGCGGAGUUCUUUUUCAAACAUAUGUACAUCAAAAAUAUUGAUUUCUUAGCUCUUUCGAAAGGUGUUGAUUCUCAUACGAUAGCUCUUGCAUAACACUAUGUGAAAUAGUUUCCCAUGGCAACAAAUUUUGUAUUUGUGGAUUGAGAAUAGGUUGUUCUUAUUUUUAAAGGAAGCUUAAACUACUCCCUUUUAACUAUUACAUGACAUCGAAGUUAAAGAAAUCAACAAAAUUGUGCUUGUCAUACUUCUCCACUGCAAUUUUCAAGUCGUCUCAAGCACAGCGCAGUGACACGAUGAAUGAAAGGAAAUUUGAAACUUCGUUGUGUAUAAACGUUCUCGGAAAGACAAACGACGGCAGCGCCGAAAUUUUGUAAUUCAUGAUGAUGGUGCGAUAUAAUGGAACAAUUACCAGCAAAACUUCUCUGCGCGGCCAUUUUUCCACUGGCUAAAAAUUUAUCAAAGCGGGUCGAUUAUUGCCGGCGUUCCUGACAAAACGUCCGAGAAAUCGACAAGAGAGAGAAAGUGAAAUUAAUUUGUGCAGUGCAACCAGUUUUUCCUAGCGUCCAAACAACGGGAGAACUUCUGUACGGAGUUGCUCAUUGUACAUGAUAUUUUAUAAUUAAUAAGCGCCAUGGGAAUUUGCGUUUUCUUUGUUUAUCGUUUCCGAACGGCAUCAUGACGUAUACCAGUUCGCCUGCACAGUUCGUAUACCACAUGGAAAUAAUUCCAGGAUCAAAGAAAGAAAACCCAUUUGUUUGGUAAUCAAGCGUCAAGAACGUUUUCUUCGCUUUUCUGCUGAAAUAACGUUCGAUUUCAAUUGAACGUUUUAAUCACGUUGUGACUUUCGCGAAAUGUAUGAAAAGUCGCGUUUCCUUUCGAACAUCUCAGCAGAAUUUCAUUCUUCGUAUAUGACUUGGAGAUUUUUUUUUCAAUAAACUUCUUCUCUCUUUCGUUUUUUUCGUCUUUUUGUUCUUUUUUUCGUUUGGAGCUUGCAAGAUUUCUCUUCAUCGAUUUACAUUCAUGCAGCACCCGUGGCUCCCUUCGUUGUAUUUUUACUUCAUUGUGUCCUCUCGCAUGGAAUUCAGUAAUGAAGCAGAAACGCGGCCCCUAACGUCGACAGGCUGAAAAGCUCGGUUUCCAUUCGCCAUCGUUCGUCGCGAUUAACCAACUGAACGCGCUCCGAUCGCACGUUCGACGCCUUUCGGGGAAAAGCUACCACGGUGGGAGGAACACGUAACGCGAACGUGUUCCUAUAAAAUAACACACAAUACCGGAUGAUUGCAGUGUUCAGCGUAUCGAAACCCGUUGCGAGAACUUGCUGCCUUUAUCCCGAGAGUAACGGUUCGAUCAGAAGCAUGCAGAUUUAUGUAAUGCCUCGGAGGGCGAACCGUUUUCCCACGGCGAUUGUUAUCGCGUUCUGACAGUCUGAAAAGCGGUUAUAAACUUUCUGGAAGGUUUAACGAAUUCUGAAAACUUCGAUGGAAGCUGCUGAAGUCACUGCGUUUGAAUUUAAGAGCGGAGAGCAACAAAAAGAAACUGCAGAUUCUUUUAUCGACUAAAUAAGAAAGGAUUCCGGCUUCAUUAUUCUAGCAUUGUUCGACGGAUGCCUUUCAAGGAGAAGCAGAAAGAAAUCACGUUUCAAUAACGAUCGCGAGACAAUAAAAAAUAUCUUUACCUUGGAAUAAAAGCGAUCGAUGUCGAAGAACAGGGACGCGAUGUCGUUUCAUUUCACGUGCAAGAAAGGAAACGGACGUUAAAAGCUUGGCUCGACGACGUGAACCGGUCCGCGAAUCGCGGUGUUAACUUAAUUAAACGCAGUUUUAAAUUGGCGUCGCAGAGAGAAAGGUGAAUGGCGUGCCUUCUGCCAUCGAUUAAUUUGCUAAUUUAUAACGAGGAAAUUUUCCGAUGCAGACUAAUUGAAACGUUGCCGCGUCACUGAGAAUAAUGUCCGCACUUGUUCCGUUUAUUUCGUUGUGGCACGCCACGAGUUUUCUCUUUCUCUCUCUCUCUCUCUCUCUCACUCUCCCAUUUGCAACACGUUAAAACAACUUUUGCAUAAUUCCGAGUUCGCUGAAUAUUAUAUUUUAUGUACACCACAUGCAUCUCGUUUUUUUCAUUCGAUUUACGUCGGCAGACAGUUCUCUGCGACGAAUAGAGCGUGUAAUCAACCCUUUUAAACACGGAUCAGAAUCAACAAAAUCAUACGAUAAAUUGUUAUUUAAAGAGGAGUGGUCACACCUGUCUACGUUGCGAAUAUUUAUAUUUUUUUAUUUGCGGGGUAAACUCGUCAUAUUGUUAUACAUAGACUUCGAGGGAAAUUACUAUAAUUAAACUGCGGAUGUUUAUUGUACGUUUGUUGGAAAUUUAAAUAAGAGAAAAUGUGAAAAUGUGAAAAUGUGAAAAUGUACAUUAUGUGCAAAAAAGCAUACAAAGUAUCCAAAGUAAAAUAUGUACUCGUAAUAAUAAUAUUUUGAGGGUGAAAGAAAUUUCUAUUCAUGUUUCAGUGGUUUAGCGUUAUGAUCGUGUGAGUAUGAAUUUCUAUAAAAAUUUACAGUCUAACCAUGGUACACGCUACAGAGAGUGUUUCCAAGAUGAUAAGGAUUAACUAAAUAGAUCAUUUUCUGACGAACAAAGUUAGUACGAUUAAUCAUUCAAGAGCUGGAUACAAUGUAUUUGAAUGUUUCUUCAAGUAUAUAAUAAGUACAAUAUAUAAGCAAAAUACGAGAAUGUAAAUUGAAGAAUAUACAACUUAAAACAUGUUCUUGAAAUUGAAAUGUCAGGCAAAUGUAACCAAUGUGACUGAGAGUACUAAAAAUUUUCACUUUUAUUCAUUUA